UACGUAGGUGGCGAGCGUUAUCCGGAAUGAUUGGGCGUAAAGGGUGCGUAGGCGGCCUGCUAAGUCUGGAGUGAAAGGUACCGGCUCAACCGGUACAGGCUCUGGAAACUGGCGGGCUAGAGAGCAGGAGAGGGCGGUGGAACUCCAUGUGUAGCGGUAAAAUGCGUAGAUAUAUGGAAGAACACCAGUGGCGAAGGCGGCCGCCUGGCCUGUUGACUGACGCUGAGGCACAAAAGCGUGGGUAGCAAACAGG
rnacentral:rRNA from 1 species